GGAAACAAGUAUGACAGACAAGCAUAUGACUACUGGCAGGAUCAACCAGGUAGCACGUCCUCAUCGACGAGCCGACAUGGAGACUGGCACACGCCAGCCAGCUAGUGGCAUGAAGUGGCAAUCACCGAGCCGACUGUCGUACAUUGAGAGAGCUUUCGUUAGGGACGCGACCGCAACGGGUCACGAGCCUUUAUCAUUUGCAACAUCCGAAACCAAUAGUGCGAGCGAGGUGGCCUUGGAAGCACCGGGCACGUAGGGCACCAGCACCACGAGGCAACGCCGCACGAACUAUUAGGCCGCAGCGGAACUCCCUUGGGGGUCCACAGCGAGGCAACCGUGUAUGAAGCACAACUUCCCGUAGUUUGGGUACCAGCAUGCAAGCACUCGUCGAUGGAGCGGAAUGGUUAGAACCGCAAGAAUGAUAGGAUAUCGGCGCCAGUAGUCGGCCGCACAUCGGCGGGGGUCCUGCUGGCAGACACGAGUCCAAGACAACUCAUGCGCUCGCGUAGCCAACUGG
rnacentral:misc_RNA from 1 species